GAAAUGCGAUAAGUAAUGUGAAUUGCAGAAUUCCGUGAAUCAUUAAAUCUUUGAACGCACCUUGCGCUCUAUGGCAUUCCGUAGAGCAUGUCUGUUUGAGAAUCAGUUUAAUCCUCACUCUCUUUUGAGUGGAUAAUGGGACAUUUCUAGCAAUAGAAUGACCUGAAAAACAAGUCUUUCAGCUUCUAAGCAAAGACCAUUGAAAGGCAUGAGUAAUAAGGCCUAGCCUUUAAAAUUGUGCUGUAUAAACGGUUAGUAGCUUUUUUGCAGGGAAGAAUUUUAAAAUACGAAGGGAAACCUUUAAGACCUUUGAUCUCAAAUCAGACAAGACUACCCGCUGAACUUAA
rnacentral:misc_RNA from 1 species